GAGGGGUCUAAUCAAGAAAUAAUUUUUUUUUUUAAUUUUUUGAAGAUGCGGAAUGUUCACUUUAUCCAAAUUGUAUGAAAUUCACGUCACUGUCAUUUAUUGUUCAAUUAUUACGUUUGAAAGUGCUAAAUGGAUGGAUAGAUAAGUCAUUUACAUUAUUACUAAAGUUAUUUAAUGAUAUUUUCAGAAGGGGUACAUUUAUC
rnacentral:lncRNA from 1 species